UUUAAAAUCUCCAUCUUGCUUGGUCUAGCACCCAAAAUUGUGCACACCCACACUACACGGGCAUGUGCUAGUCAAUGACAAAUCAGAAAUAACUAACUGCCCAUGGGCUGUCCUAAGCCAAGCUUGAGUCACCAUUGGCACUUGUGAGGCACAGGAAGUGAGGUAGGGAACAGCCUCUGGAAUUCACUCACUUCCUGUGGAGAGAGCUAGGCAGCAGUUCAUGCUAGGAGCUUCAGCAGGGAGGAGGCCUGCAGACAGCUUUCCUUCAGAUCCAUCACGUCCCUGUUCAGGCACCACCUGUAGAGCCUGAUGGAUACUGAUCACACAGAUUAUUGAAUGGUCCCAAAGAGAAGGUGGGGGAGAUGAGAAAUAUACUUGGGACCAAGAGGACAAGAGACAAGCUGAUUGCAAAUCAAUGAAUCUUUCAAGAGGUGGUAGGGUGCCUCUCCUUGGAGAUCUUCACACAGGAGCUAGAUGACCACUUGUUCAUUCACAUAUUCUGUGGUCCUGCGUUAUCUCCAUUUGAUUCAGCAAAUGUUCAUCAAGUGCUGACUACGUACAAGGCACCAUCCUAAGCAAUGAGAUGAGGAACUAAGGCAAGCAGGGUUAAAUGACUUGCCCAGAGUCACACAUCUAGUAAGUAUCUGAGACUGGAUAAAGACGAGUUUUCCUAAUUACAAGUCCAGUACUUUAGAAACCGUGCCACCUAAGUUCCCGGUGUGUGUGUGUGUGUGUGUGUGUGUGUGUGUGUGUGUGUGUGUGUGUGUGUAGUUUUCACUACCAUGGUUCUACUCUUGCCAAUGAAGUAAAAUUAUACUAAAAGUGAAGAAUUGAGGAAGAAAGAAACCCCAUGCUAUCUCAACUCCCCCAACA